GGAGGACCGGGGUGUCAGGCUGGGGGACUCACUUGUGGGGCUGGAGAACUGAGAUGUGGGGCUGGAGGACUUGAGGGUGGCCUUGGAGGACUGGGGUGUGGGGCUGGAGGACCUUGUUGUGGGGCUGGCGGGCUGGGCUUUGGGGUGGUACGACUCACUUGUGGGGCUGCAGGAAUUACUUAGAGGGCUGAAGGACUCGGAUGUGGGGCUGGAGGAGCUCAGCUGGGGCUGUGGGAGUCACUUAUGGGGCUGGGCAGUUCCCCCUUUUCCCCUGCGCACUGUUUCCCCUGUUUCCCCGUGGCAGUUCCUUUUCCCUCCUUCUCCUCCUGCCUUUUCCCUCCGAGGGACCAGGGUGUGGGGCUGGAGGACUCACUUGUGGGGCUGGAGGACUCACUUGUGGGGCUGCAGGACUUGGAUGUGCGGCUGGAGGAGCUCGGAGCUGAGCACCAGUGGGGCUGGAGGACUGGCUCGUGGCGCUGGAGGACUCACUUCUGGGGCUUGGAGAACUGAGAUGCAUGGCUGGAGGACUUGGGAGCGGCCUUGGAGGACCUCGCUGUGGGGCUGGAGGACCUCGCUGUGGGGCUGGAGGACCUCGCUGUGGGGCUGGAGGACUCAUUUAAGGGGCUGGAGGACCUCGCUGUGGGGCUGCGGGACCUCGCUGUGGGGCUGGAGGACCUCGGUGUGGGGCUGGAGGACUCACUUAUGGAGCUGGAGGACGUCGGUGUCGGACUGGAGGACUGGGAUGUGGGGCUGGAGGGCUCACUUCUGGCGCUGGAGGACUUGGAUGUGCGGCUGGAGGAGCUCGGUCUGGUGCUGGAGGACUCACUUAAGGGGCUGGAGGACUCGAUUAUAGGGCUGCAGGACUGGCAUGUGGGGCUUGGAGGACCUCGCUGUGGGCUGGAGAACUGGGAUGAUGAGAGAAGGUUGCGUUGCGUGUCGUGCUUCAUCUUCAUCUUCAUCUUCAUCUCCAUCUUCAGGCCUUCGUGCUGGGAUGACAGCAGGAUCUGCUGCAGUGUUGCUGCUGACGUUAGGCAGGGAAAGAGCUGAAGCUGGUAAGGGGCUGGAGGAGUCGGUUAUGGGGCUGGAGGAGUCGGUUAUGGGGCUGGAGGACUCGGUUAUGCGGUGGAGGACUUGGAUGUGCGGCUGAAGGACUCACUUAAGGGGCUGGAGGACCUUGGGUGUGGGGCUGGAGGAGCUCGGAUGUGGUGCUGGAGGACUCAGUUGUGGGGCUUGGAGAACUGAGAUGUGGGGCAAGAGGACUCACUUAUGGGGCUGGAGGACUUGGAUGUACGUCUGGAGGACCUCGGAGCUGAGCACCAGUGGGGCUGGAGGACCUCGGAUGUGGGGCUGGAGGACCUCGGAUGUGGGGCUGGAGGACUCACUUAUGGUGCUGGAGGACCUUGGAUGUGGGGCUGGAGGACCUAGGUGUGGGGCUGGAGGACUCACCUGUGGGGCUGGUAAGUUGACAGGUGGGGCUGGAGGACUGGGCGUUGGGGCUGGAGGACUUGGGGGCUGCCCUGGAGCACUCACUUGUGGGGCUGGAGGAGUUACU
ensembl:lncRNA